GACGAACGCUGGCGGCGUGCUUAACACAUGCAAGUCGAACGGAAAGGCCCUGCUUUUGUGGGGUGCUCGAGUGGCGAACGGGUGAGUAACACGUGAGUAACCUGCCCUUGACUUUGGGAUAACUUCAGGAAACUGGGGCUAAUACCGGAUAGGAGCUCCUGCUGCAUGGUGGGGGUUGGAAAGUUUCGGCGGUUGGGGAUGGACUCGCGGCUUAUCAGCUUGUUGGUGGGGUAGUGGCUUACCAAGGCUUUGACGGGUAGCCGGCCUGGGAGGGUGGACGGCCCCAAUGGGACUAGGGUACGGCCCAGAAUCCAACGGGAGGCAACAGGGGGGAAUAUUGCGCAAUGGGGGGAAGCCUGAUGCGACAACCGCGGGUGCGGGAUGACCGGCUUCGGGGUGUAAACCGCUUUGGCCUGUGACGAAGCGGGAGUGACGGUAAUUGGUAAAGAAGCACCGGCUAACUACGUG
rnacentral:rRNA from 1 species